GGGUUGUGAGGUUAAGCGACUAAGCGUACACGGUGGAUGCCCUGGCAGUCAGAGGCGAUGAAGGGCGUGCUAAUCUGCGAUAAGCGCCGGUAAGGUGAUAUGAACCGUUAUAACCGGCGAUACCCGAAUGGGGAAACCCAGUGUGAUUCGUCACACUAUCAUUAACUGAAUCCAUAGGUUAAUGAGGCGAACCGGGGGAACUGAAACAUCUAAGUACCCCGAGGAAAAGAAAUCAACCGAGAUUCCCCCAGUAGCGGCGAGCGAACGGGGAGGAGCCCAGAGCCUGAAUCAGCAUGUGUGUUAGUGGAAGCGUCUGGAAAGGCGCGCGAUACAGGGUGACAGCCCCGUACACAAAAGCGCAUGUGCUGUGAGCUCGAUGAGUAGGGCGGGACACGUGGUAUCCUGUCUGAAUAUGGGGGGACCAUCCUCCAAGGCUAAAUACUCCUGACUGACCGAUAGUGAACCAGUACCGUGAGGGAAAGGCGAAAAGAACCCCGGCGAGGGGAGUGAAAAAGAACCUGAAACCGUGUACGUACAAGCAGUGGGAGCNNNNNNNNNNNNNNNNNNNNNNGGGCGUUAAGUUGCAGGGUAUAGACCCGAAACCCGGUGAUCUAGCCAUGGGCAGGUUGAAGGUUGGGUAACACUAACUGGAGGACCGAACCGACUAAUGUUGAAAAAUUAGCGGAUGACCUGUGGCUGGGGGUGAAAGGCCAAUCAAACCGGGAGAUAGCUGGUUCUCCCCGAAAGCUAUUUAGGUAGCGCCUCGUGAAUUCAUCUCCGGGGGUAGAGCACUGUUUCGGCUAGGGGGCCAUCCCGGCUUACCAACCCGAUGCAAACUGCGAAUACCGGAGAAUGUUAUCACGGGAGACACACGGCGGGUGCUAACGUCCGUCGUGAAGAGGGAAACAACCCAGACCGCCAGCUAAGGUCCCAAAGUCAUGGUUAAGUGGGAAACGAUGUGGGAAGGCCCAGACAGCCAGGAUGUUGGCUUAGAAGCAGCCAUCAUUUAAAGAAAGCGUAAUAGCUCACUGGUCGAGUCGGCCUGCGCGGAAGAUGUAACGGGGCUAAACCAUGCACCGAAGCUGCGGCAGCGACACUGUGUGUUGUUGGGUAGGGGAGCGUUCUGUAAGCCUGUGAAGGUGUGUCGUGAGGCAUGCUGGAGGUAUCAGAAGUGCGAAUGCUGACAUAAGUAACGAUAAAGCGGGUGAAAAGCCCGCUCGCCGGAAGACCAAGGGUUCCUGUCCAACGUUAAUCGGGGCAGGGUGAGUCGACCCCUAAGGCGAGGCCGAAAGGCGUAGUCGAUGGGAAACGGGUUAAUAUUCCCGUACUUGGUGUUACUGCGAAGGGGGGACGGAGAAGGCUAUGUUGGCCGGGCGACGGUUGUCCCGGUUUAAGCGUGUAGGUGUGUGUUCCAGGUAAAUCCGGUUCACUUUAACACUGAGGCGUGACGACGAGGCACUACGGUGCUGAAGCAACAAAUGCCCUGCUUCCAGGAAAAGCCUCUAAGCAUCAGGUAACAUCAAAUCGUACCCCAAACCGACACAGGUGGUCAGGUAGAGAAUACCAAGGCGCUUGAGAGAACUCGGGUGAAGGAACUAGGCAAAAUGGUGCCGUAACUUCGGGAGAAGGCACGCUGACACGUAGGUGAAGUGAUUUACUCAUGGAGCUGAAGUCAGUCGAAGAUACCAGCUGGCUGCAACUGUUUAUUAAAAACACAGCACUGUGCAAACACGAAAGUGGACGUAUACGGUGUGACGCCUGCCCGGUGCCGGAAGGUUAAUUGAUGGGGUCAGCGCAAGCGAAGCUCCUGAUCGAAGCCCCGGUAAACGGCGGCCGUAACUAUAACGGUCCUAAGGUAGCGAAAUUCCUUGUCGGGUAAGUUCCGACCUGCACGAAUGGCGUAAUGAUGGCCAGGCUGUCUCCACCCGAGACUCAGUGAAAUUGAACUCGCUGUGAAGAUGCAGUGUACCCGCGGCAAGACGGAAAGACCCCGUGAACCUUUACUAUAGCUUGACACUGAACAUUGAGCCUUGAUGUGUAGGAUAGGUGGGAGGCUUUGAAGUGUGGACGCCAGUCUGCAUGGAGCCGACCUUGAAAUACCACCCUUUAAUGUUUGAUGUUCUAACGUGGACCCGUUACCCGGGUUGCGGACAGUGUCUGGUGGGUAGUUUGACUGGGGCGGUCUCCUCCUAAAGAGUAACGGAGGAGCACGAAGGUUGGCUAAUCCUGGUCGGACAUCAGGAGGUUAGUGCAAUGGCAUAAGCCAGCUUGACUGCGAGCGUGACGGCGCGAGCAGGUGCGAAAGCAGGUCAUAGUGAUCCGGUGGUUCUGAAUGGAAGGGCCAUCGCUCAACGGAUAAAAGGUACUCCGGGGAUAACAGGCUGAUACCGCCCAAGAGUUCAUAUCGACGGCGGUGUUUGGCACCUCGAUGUCGGCUCAUCACAUCCUGGGGCUGAAGUAGGUCCCAAGGGUAUGGCUGUUCGCCAUUUAAAGUGGUACGCGAGCUGGGUUUAGAACGUCGUGAGACAGUUCGGUCCCUAUCUGCCGUGGGCGCUGGAGAACUGAGGGGGGCUGCUCCUAGUACGAGAGGACCGGAGUGGACGCAUCACUGGUGUUCGGGUUGUCAUGCCAAUGGCACUGCCCGGUAGCUAAAUGCGGAAGAGAUAAGUGCUGAAAGCAUCUAAGCACGAAACUUGCCCCGAGAUGAGUUCUCCCUGAGACUUAGAGUCUCCUGAAGGAACGUUGAAGACGACGACGUUGAUAGGCCGGGUGUGUAAGCGCAGCGAUGCGUUGAGCUAACCGGUACUAAUGAACCGUGAGGCUUAACCUUACAACGCCGAAG
rnacentral:rRNA from 1 species